rnacentral:rRNA from 1 species
CGCGGCCUAUCAGCUUGUUGGUGGGGUGAUGGCCUACCAAGGCGACGACGGGUAGCCGGCCUGAGAGGGCGACCGGCCACACUGGGACUGAGACACGGCCCAGACUCCUACGGGAGGCAGCAGUGGGGAAUAUUGCACAAUGGGCGCAAGCCUGAUGCAGCGACGCCGCGUGAGGGAUGACGGCCUUCGGGUUGUAAACCUCUUUCGCCAGGGACGAAGCCUUUUGGGGUGACGGUACCUGGAGAAGAAGCACCGGCUAACUACGUGCCAGCAGCCGCGGUAAUACGUAGGGUGCGAGCGUUGUCCGGAAUUAUUGGGCGUAAAGAGCACGUAGGCGGUUUGUCGCGUCGGCCGUGGAAACUGGAGGCUUAACCUUCAGCCUGCGGUCGAUACGGGCAGACUUGAGUUCGGUAGGGGAGUCUGGAAUUCCUGGUGUAGCGGUGAAAUGCGCAGGUAUCAGGAGGAACACCGGUGGCGAAGGCGGGACUCUGGGCCGAUACUGACGCUGAGGAGCGAAAGCGUGGGGAGCGAACAGGAUUAGAUACCCUGGUAGUCCACGCUGUAAACGUUGGGCGCUAGGUGUGGGUGACAUUCCACGUUGUCCGUGCCGUAGCUAACGCAUUAAGCGCCCCGCCUGGGGAGUACGG